GACGAACGCUGGCGGCGUGCCUAAUACAUGCAAGUAGAACGCUGAAGGCGGAGCUUGCUUCUCUGGAUGAGUUGCGAACGGGUGAGUAACGCGUAGGUAACCUGCCUGGUAGCGGGGGAUAACUAUUGGAAACGAUAGCUCAUACCGCAUAAGAGUAGAUGUCGCAUGACAUUUGCUUAAAAGGUGCAAUUGCAUCACUACCAGAUGGACCUGCGUUGUAUUAGCUAGUUGGUGAGGUAACGGCUCACCAAGGCAACGAUACAUAGCCGACCGGAGAGGGUGGUCGGCCACACGGGGACUGGGACACGGCCCAGACGCCUACGGGAGGCAGCAGUAGGGAAUCUUCGGCAAUGGACGGAAGUCUGACCGAGCAACGCCGCGUGAGUGAAGAAGGUUUUCGGAUCGUAAAGCUCUGUUGUAAGAGAAGAACGAGUGUGAGAGUGGAAAGUUCACACUGUGACGGUAUCUUACCAGAAAGGGACGGCUAACUACGUG
rnacentral:rRNA from 1 species